rnacentral:rRNA from 1 species
CGCUCGACAUCAGAGUUUGAUCCUGGCUCAGGACGAACGCUGGCGGCGUGCCUAACACAUGCAAGUCGAACGGACGAUGGAGAGCUUGCUCUCCAAAGUUAGUGGCGAACGGGUGAGUAACGCGUGAGCAACCUGCCUUUCAGAGGGGGACAACAGUUGGAAACGACUGCUAAUACCGCAUAACAUGAUCUGGCCGCAUGACCGGAUCAUCAAAGAUUUAUCGCUGAAAGAUGGGCUCGCGUCUGAUUAGCUAGUUGGUGGGGUAACGGCCCACCAAGGCGACGAUCAGUAGCCGGACUGAGAGGUUGAACGGCCACAUUGGGACUGAGAUACGGCCCAG